rnacentral:ncRNA from 1 species
CGUCCGUCGCUUCUAUCAAUUGAAUAGUUUGGUGAAGUGUUCGGAUUGCGACGACGUGGGUGAUUCGCUAUCCGCAACAUUGUGAGAAGUCCAUUGAACCUUCUUAUUUAGAAGAAGAAAUCGUAACAA